rnacentral:lncRNA from 1 species
GCUAAACCCACUGGAACCCAUGGAACCCGUUUACUUCCAAAGCUAACCUACUUCGAGUCUUCGACCCUUUCCGUCAUUCACCAAAACGCAACUCUCUCUCUGGAACUCAACCCAAUCUGAGCACAGCAACCUCCCAUUCAUUUCUGUCACCCAAAUCCCAACUCUCUCUCUCUCUCUAUAUAUCUCUCAUCUCUCUCUGCGCGCCCAAUUUGCCAAGUCUUUGUAUCUGUGUAAAUGACGCCAGAGAUAACCCAAAACUAGAUACAGUUGCUUGCACGAUCUCUGAAAGCAAAGAAGAAUCUCACAAUACCCAAAAAAGAUGAGUUUAAAUGAUGAGUCUCAAUUUAUAUCUGUGGAGGAAAGAGGAGAAGAUGCUACAACAAAUGUACAAGGAGAUGAUUUGCCUUCUAGAAGAAAUCGGACGAGAUAGGCUGUUAAAUAUGAUAAUUAUAUUGUAAUAUGUAUAUAUUAAUUGAUCUGAAUAUAUUUCUCUAAUAGUUGAUCAAAAAAUGAAUCAAAAAUUACAUAAGUCUUAACGGAUUUUAAUGGAUUUGGGAAAAAAAAUUUAUAUACAUAAGUCUUA